rnacentral:rRNA from 1 species
AGUGAACGCUGGCGGUAGGCCUAACACAUGCAAGUCGAACGGCAGCACAGAGGAGCUUGCUCCUUGGGCGGCGAGUGGCGGACGGGUGAGGAAUACAUCGGAAUCUACUCUGUCGUGGGGGAUAACGUAGGGAAACUUACGCUAAUACCGCAUACGACCUACGGGUGAAAGCAGGGGACCUUCGGGCCUUGCGCGAUUGAAUGAGCCGAUGUCGGAUUAGCUAGUUGGCGGGGUAAAGGCCCACCAAGGCGACGAUCCGUAGCUGGUCUGAGAGGAGGAUCAGCCACACUGGAACGUAGACACGGUCCCGACUCCUACGGGGGGCAGCAGUGAGGAAUAUUGGACGAUGGGCGCAAGCCUGAUCCAGCCAUACCGCGUGGGUGAAGAAGGCCUUCGGGUUGUAAAGCCCUUUUGUUGGGAAAGAAAUCCAGCUGGCUAAUACCCGGUUGGGAUGACGGUACCCAAAGAAUAAGCACCGGCUAACUUCGUGCCAGCAGCCGCCGUAA